AGAGAGAGAGAGAGAGAGAGGGGGAAAGAAAUUUACGAGUCGUGUGAAAAGAUCGUAAAGUUCUUACCGCGUUACGUGAUACUCAUAGAGAUAAGAGUUUCCUGAUAAGAAAUCAUAUCUGCUUUAACCGUUAAUUAAUAAUACAUAUUUGGAAUAUACCAUGCAAUGUCGAUGCAUCGAUGUAGAUAAAACUUAAUUAUUUAUUGUCGAGAUAAUAAUUUUCGUUUGAAUAUUUUCGAAAGUGAGGUUACACACGGUGCCGAAAACGCUCGAUAUGAACGCGCAUUUCUCGGAGUUGCGCAACGUUAUUGACACUAUCGUGGUAGAGGAUGCAUUCGUAUAACGCGUUUACUCAAAUGUUCCAUAUGCAUCGACUUGCAAAAUUACGACAUUCGUGAAAACGCAGAAGAGAGAAGGAAAUAGAUAGGGAAAUCUUGGAAAAUAUUAAUAACGCAUAUAAACUUGAAAUUUUUGAUAAUCAUCAUACUGAUUCAUUUAAUCCUUUAUAAGUCCAGUAAAUAUUUUGCAUUCUGGCAAGAGGGGAAGGAAGCUUACGUAAUAACUCAAACGGGGAGGCUGCGCAAGAAUAUUUUUAUCGACGAGCAAGGGAAACAUAGUUCUAUGUACAUACCUAUGUGUGUAUGU